UCAUGAAAUAUGUACUAUCAAGAUACCUAGGUAACUUUUUCAGUGUUCAUAAGAAGAAUAUGAACCCAAAUUCGAUGUAUGACGCUCUUUGAAGUACUAACUAGUAACUAGAUACAAUCUAUAAUAUAGUAAUAGUAUGUACUCACUUAGGGAAGGUAUAUGACAGGAGAAGUGAUGGGUUUAUUAUACAAACCAUCACCUUCAAGUGAUUACUUAUUGUCCAGUAGACAAUUCUAGCCUAAUUUUACCCCAUCAUCUGACAAUAUUUCGGAGGAGCGAUUUUGUUCAUACGUUGAAUUUUGUCAAUUUUUUCCCCCAAAAUUUACGAGUUGAAAUUGAAAAAAAAUUCUGGCGUGCCUUAAACGGCCAAUUCGGACGCGUUAUAUGCGACUGUCAUAGAAGUAAAAAAUUUCACAUGGCAUUGAAAUUUUUUUUUGAUCUGCCUGCCCCUCCAAAAGAAACAGCAGCCCAAAUCUUCUCAAUUCAGAUACCUAGAAUACUUUUUUGAAAAUAAAUUUCACGUGUAGUUACAAAUUCAACAGUUUAACGAGUUUUCUCAUUCAAAGACGAGAACAAUAAUAAUUACACAGACGUGAGAUUUUUUUUUCGAAAUUGCUAACAACUGCAUUUCCUGAAUAAAACCGCGAAACUUUUCAUAAAGUCACACUUUGUCUGCUUUCAAAACCCAGAAAACUGUAAUACAAUUCCGAAGAAGAAUUACAGAGCAGCACAAACGUACCAUUUUUUCAGAUAAACGACAGGCGAUCUUCAAGGCCGAAUGCUUCACCAAUUUCAAUAUUCAUUCCCACCUCCCGUUUUUUCGAGCUAACCAGUCAUGCUUUUUCUCAGUCGUGAAAAAAAUUAUAAUACGAAUAUUGAAACGCCAUUGAAAAGAGCAAAAUUCAUCACUGUUUCGGCGGUUCGAUAACUACAUACUUGAUAAUUAAAUCGCCAUAUUCGAUGACCAAUUAACUUAUCGAGAGCGAAUACAAGCGAAGAGAACAUACGGAGGUCAUUCGAUUGUAUGUAAGGCGCGAUUAAAUCAGAAAUUGAAACUUGUAAACAAUACGGCUAUACAUAUGAAAAUAUGUAUUGUGCACGUCUUUCUUGGCGUAUUUAAUUUACAUAAUUCACUGUGUCAAGCGGCGAAUUACAGAUUUCAUUCACGUCUGCCAAACCCAGCAAUGUAGAUUAAUUUGUACCCGUAACAAAAGAAUAAAGAAAAAAGUCAAGCAUCAUCGAUUGUUCGUGUCAUUUUUAGCAAUUUUUCAUCCACCGGUUUCUUACUUAUACUAUUAUAGGGUACCUAGACCUACUACCUAUGUAGGUUCUCUUGCACAUAUUUUUCCGUUGAAAAAUUUCGAUUGUUUGCCAACAAUUUGUCGUCUAAUGGCUGUCGAAUCACAAGAGUUGUUUCUUUCCGCAGAUAAUUCUGUUGAAUUUUAAUUUUUUAACCGCAAUUACAUAAUA